rnacentral:rRNA from 1 species
AACUAACGCUGGCGGCGUGCCUAACACAUGCAAGUCGUACGAGAAAGUUGGCUUCGGCUGAUGAGUAAAGUGGCGCACGGGUGAAGUAACGCGUGGAUAAUCUGCCUUUUAGUUGGGAAUAACGUACCGAAAGGUGCGCUAAUACCGGAUAAUACUGCAUAACUACUGUUGUGUAGUCAAAGAAGGCCUCUGUUUACAAGCUUUUGCUGAAAGAUGAGUCCGCGUACCAUUAGCUAGUUGGUAGGGUAAUGGCCUACCAAGGCUACGAUGGUUAGCUGGUCUGAGAGGAUGAUCAGCCACACUGGAACUGAGACACGGUCCAGACUCCUACGGGAGGCAGCAGUGAGGAAUAUUGCGCAAUGGGGCGAACCCUGACGCAGCAACGCCGCGUGAGUGAGGAAGGUUUUCGGCCGUAAAAGCUCUGUCGAGUGGGAAGAAAUGUAUUGUGGCUAAUAUCCAUGAUAUUUGUACGGUACCGCUAAAGGAAGCACCGG